rnacentral:rRNA from 1 species
AGCGGUAACAGCUCAAAUUUGAAAUCUGGCUCCUGCGGAGUCCGAGUUGUAAUUUGUAGAAGAUGCUUUGGGAGGGAGGCUCGGCCUAAGUUCCUUGGAACAGGACAUCAGAGAGGGUGAGAAUCCCGUAUGUGGCCGUGGCCUCCGCCCGUGUAAAGCUCUUUCGACGAGUCGAGUUGUUUGGGAAUGCAGCUCAAAAUGGGUGGUAAAUUUCAUCUAAAGCUAAAUAUUGGCCAGAGACCGAUAGCGCACAAGUAGAGUGAUCGAAAGAUGAAAAGCACUUUGGAAAGAGAGUUAAACAGUACGUGAAAUUGUUGAAAGGGAAGCGCUUGCACCCAGACUUGGGCGUCGUCGAUCAUCCGAGGUUCUCCUCGGUGCACUCGGCGAGGCACAGGCCAGCAUCGGUUUGGAUGGUUGGAGAAAGGCUCUAGGAACGUAGCUCUCUUCGGGGAGUGUUAUAGCCUAGGGCGUAAUGCAGCCCAUCGGGACCGAGGACCGCGCCUUCGGGCUAGGAUGCUGGCGUAAUGGUU